AUGGUUGUUGAGUAUAUUGUGACGCUCGCACACGGAUGGUGCUCCACCGAUGUGACAGCCCCGACGAGCUCUACCCGGUUCACUCCGCCACCUCCACCACUUCCGCCGCCCCUGUCGCUCUCGCCACCGGAGUGGAUCUUUGGCAUGCUCGCUUGGGUCAUCCUAAUCCUGCCACCCUUCGCCACAUACUUCGGAGUUUUUCUUUCACGUGUAAUAAGAACGAGGAUCACUCGUGUCAUGCAUGUCGCCUCGGCAAACAUGCUCGUCUUCCGUUUAGGGCUUCUUCUUUUGUUGCAUCGUACCCGUUUGAGUUAA
rnacentral:rRNA from 1 species